UAUAUGUGAUUGAGUGGAAAUUUGUGAUAAUAUGUUGGAUUAAUUUCUGUAUGUGUUGGCUCUCUUUUUAUAUUUGGCUGCUUCAAUCUCUCUAUUAAUGUGUUUGCUUGCUCGGAAAUUGAAGGAAAAAAUGGAAAAAUGUGAUUUUGAAUAACUUGGAUCCACACAUCAUUACCCUUUUGAUUGCUAUUAGGGCUUCAACUCCAUAUUUGGUGUUCUGCAGAAGUUUGAGAAUAGUUGCUGACUUGGACACUCAUCAUAUUUUUGUUCGCGCUGAUCCAUCUGUAGAUCCCUGCGCUUAUAAUGCUCCAAAUGCUGUUAAGUUACUGUAAUACCAAGAGGAUGAUGAGGUUGUAGAGUAUAGAAAGCGUGAUAUUAUUGUGCAGAAACAUCAUGGUCAUUCUGAGAGACUUGGCAAACAUGCCCAAUCAACUAACUAUCAAGGAUGUUUUUCUAUAAAGAUGAUAGACAGUUAAUGUAAUGAUCCCAUAACUGAAAUGGGUGAACAAUUGGUCCAUCGAAUGAGGAUGAGAAGCAAGCAUUUUAUUGCCCUUCACCUAACAUUGGUUUUGAUUACGUUUGGAAGCAUACUUGCAAAUCAAGAUCAAGUGUUGAAUUUAUUUAUUUUUAUAUGAAUUGAUACUUAGUUCGAGUUGCAAAUCAAGAUCGUGUUGAUUUUUUUUUGUGGACUCC